UUACUGUGGUCUUGCGUGUCCUCUUUCCUAAUUCUUCCCCUGUUAAUCACCCUCCCACUCCCUGCCACAGAGCCUUCUAGAACCCUGGUUCUAUGACAUUAUGAUGAUGAUGACAACGAUGACGAUAGUGGCAAUCAUUUAUUAAGCAUUGCCCUGGCCUAAGACACCACAUGGGUCAUUUCUUCCAGGCUCCAACUUGCUUCUGCUUUGCCAUAUGGUAACACGCCGUAUUAUGGAAGCACCAUCAUUACCGCCAUUUGCAGGGGAAGCCUAAAGAGAUAAAUGCCAGCCAGCAUCCCUGUCUCUGGGGCCCUGGAGAGGCCUUCAACACACCUGGCCUCACUGCCCUGUGGCUUCAACAAAGAGGCCGAGCAUCUCCUAUAAACCUUGAGGUCCAUGGAUGACAUAGCGGAAUGAUGGAUUUCAGAAAAGCACACUGCUGUUACGACUCCAGAACCGAUAAGGAAGCUAUGUGUGGAAGUAUGAGCUCAGGUCGCCUUCUGACCCUCUGUGACGGUCUAUUUCAGGCAGUUAUGGAUAGAUAACAUUACAGACACUGGUAAUUAAAACAACACUAAUUUUGUCUCUGUGGUCACGCUUUGUUGUUAGAAGCCAUCUAUCAUGGCCUUCACGCAUCACGCAAUGAGAAGACAUUUGUCUACGUACAUUGUGCUUGGUCAACGGUUUUACGGAUUUCCCCGCGUACCUGGACACCCAGGCACUUUUAAAGACGUACUGCCUUCAUUUCUACUCUAUUACUCUGAUUAAUAAAACAUUUUGCAUGCUUCAUCAAAACACCCUGCAAGCUUUUCACCACAUAUAUUCAUGGGGGGGGAAGCAAUGUUAAUUUCUUUCCCUUUUAGAAAGAAACUAACAACAACAACAACAAAAGAAAUUCUCUUUUGGAUUGGAAGAGAGAAAGAAAAAUUCAAAUAUGGAAAUAUUUGUCUUCCCUGUAAAACAGAGUCCAGCCUAAUGAAAAGCAUAAUAUUAAAACACACACACAAUGCCAAGCAUCUCCUUUAAGGCUACACGUAUUUUUGACUAUAUGUAUCGUUAGUUCUUUUCUGUGCAUUCAUUUGCUUGAUUUAUGGACACUCAAUUUCACUUCACCUUUUAUUACAAGAUCUACAGUUACAUUAAGAGUAAUAGCAAGUCAAAUGUUUUUAUAUUUGGGCAAUUAAAAAAAAAGAAAAGAUCUAUUCCUUGGGCCCUUAUAAGAAAUUAGGGAUAGCUGAAAUGCAAGAUGACUAGUUUAGUUCUGUUGUAAUCAACUAAGAAGAAACUGUAAUGGUGCAUUUCAAGGGAUCUUUAACAAGUGACACAAACAAGAGAAGAAGCAGACAGGACCAUUUAACUUCAAACUCCACCGAAGAGAGCUGAAUUGUAAGCUUCCUACAGCAAGCCCGGCUGGCGGCUAUGUGGCAGUCUUCAUUUCUCAGCGGAAAAGCCACUCCCUUGAGACUCUCCAGGCACCCCCCAACCGCAUUUUUUAUCAAGUGUCUAAAAGACACAAUGAACAAAAACCAGAGCUUUUGAAUACAGAUUUCCAGUAAAACCAAACCCAGCUUGGGUCAGAUGCACCUUUCCAGCAACCACCAUCUCAGCAACAACCUGCCAGCUGUCAACUGGAAGUUCAGCUUCUGGGAACUUCAGCCCCCUUCUCAGAGGAGCAAGGUCCUAGCACCAACAGCACCUGCAGUGGAGCCCAAGUAUGGCUGCUUCAUGGAGAAGGUAUCUGUUUGCGUGCAAAUCCGUGAGUGCUUGCAUCUCGUGUAUUUGAAAAUCCUGUUUAAGAAUGCAG
rnacentral:lncRNA from 1 species